rnacentral:rRNA from 1 species
AUUGAACGCUGGCGGAAUGCUUUACACAUGCAAGUCGAACGGCAGCACGGGGGCAGCCCUGGUGGCGAGUGGCGAACGGGUGAGUAAUACAUCGGAACGUGCCCGGUCGUGGAGGAUAACGUAGCGAAAGUUACGCUAAUACCGCAUACGAUCUGAGGAUGAAAGCGGGGGACCUUCGGGCCUCGCGCGAUCGGAGCGGCCGAUGUCAGAUUAGGUAGUUGGUGGGGUAAAGGCCUACCAAGCCGACGAUCUGUAGCUGGUCUGAGAGGACGACCAGCCACACUGGGACUGAGACACGGCCCAGACUCCUACGGGAGGCAGCAGUGGGGAAUUUUGGACAAUGGGCGCAAGCCUGAUCCAGCCAUUCCGCGUGCAGGACGAAGGCCUUCGGGUUGUAAGCUGCUUUUGUACGGAACGAAAAGGCUCUGGCUAAUACCUGGGGCUCAUGACGGUACCGUAAGAAUAAGCACCGGCUAACUACGUG